GAUGAAGAACGCAGCGAAAUGCGAUACGUAAUGUGAAUUGCAGAAUUCAGUGAAUCAUCGAAUCUUUGAACGCACAUUGCGCCUGCCAGCACUCUGGCAGGCAUGCCUGUUCGAGCGUCAUUUCAACCAUCAAGCCCUAGGCUUGCGUUGGAGCCCUGCGGCUGCCGCAGGCCCCUAAAAGCAGUGGCGGGCUCGCUAUCACACCGAGUGCAGUAGAUUACUCUUCGCUCAGGGCGUGUGGCGGGUUCCAGCCGUGAACCCCCUACUUCUCAAGGUUGACCUCGGAUCAGGUAGGAAUACCCGCUGAACUUAAGCAUAUCAAUAAGCGGAGGA
rnacentral:misc_RNA from 1 species